UACGUAGGGUGCGAGCGUUAAUCGGAAUUACUGGGCGUAAAGCGUGCGCAGGCGGUUUUGUAAGCCAGAUGUGAAAUCCCCGGGCUUAACCUGGGAAUGGCAUUUGGGACUGCAAGGCUUGAGUGCGGCAGAGGAGACUGGAAUUCCUGGUGUAGCAGUGAAAUGCGUAGAUAUCAGGAGGAACACCUGUGGCGAAGGCGGCUCUCUGGGCCUGUACUGACGCUGAGGAGCGAAAGCGUGGGGAGCGAACAGG
rnacentral:rRNA from 1 species